rnacentral:rRNA from 1 species
CCUACGGGGGGCUGCAGUGGGGGAUAUUGCACAAUGGGGGGAACCCUGAUGCAGCGACGCCGCGUGGGUGAAGGAGCGUUUCGGCGCGUAAAGCCCUAUCGGCAGGGAAGAAGGAGGACGGUACCUGACUAAGAAGCCCCGGCUAACUACGUGCCAGCAGCCGCGGUAAUACGUAGGGGGCAAGCGUUAUCCGGAUUUACGGGGUGUAAGGGGGGCGCAGACGGCAGCGCAAGCCAGGAGUGAAAGCCCGGGGCCAAACCCCGGGACUGCUCUUGGAACUGCGCGGCUGGAGUGCAGGAGGGGGAGGCGGAAGUCCUGGUGUAGCGGUGAAAUGCGUAGAUAUCAGGAGGAAC